rnacentral:rRNA from 1 species
GCUCGACCUCAAAUCAGGUAGGAAUACCCGCUGAACUUAAGCAUAUCAAUAAGCGGAGGAAAAGAAACCAACAGGGAUUGCCUCAGUAGCGGCGAGUGAAGCGGCAAGAGCUCAGAUUUGAAAUCGCAGCACCAUGCUGCGAGUUGUAGAUUGCAGGUGGGAGAGUCUGCGUAGGCCGGUGUCGAAGUCCCUUGGAACAGGGCGCCACUGAGGGUGAGAGCCCCGUGCGAUGCCACGCUCUACGUUUUGUACUCCCCUCUGACGAGUCGAGUUGUUUG